rnacentral:rRNA from 1 species
UGGGGAAUAUUGGACAAUGGGCGAAAGCCUGAUCCAGCCAUGCCGCGUGUGUGAAGAAGGUCUUCGGAUUGUAAAGCUCUUUAAGUUGGGAGGAAGGGCAGUAAGCGAAUACCUUGCUGUUUUUACGUUACCGACAGAAUAAGCACCGGCUAACUCUGUGCCAGCAGCCGCGGUAAUACCGAGGGUGCAAGCGUUAAUCGUAAUUACUGGGCGUAAAGCGGGCGUAGGUGGUUCGUUAAGUUGAAUGUGAAAGCCCCGGGCUCAACCUGGGAACUGCAUCCAAAACUGGCGAGCGAGAGUAGGGCAGAGGGUGGUGGAAUAUCCUGUGUAGCGGUGAAAAGCGUAGAUAUAGGAAGGAAAACCAGUGGCGAAGGAGACCACCUGGGGUCAUACUGACACUGAGGUGCGAAAGCGUGGGGAGCAAAAAGG